GCGUUGUGUGUACAUCGCUUGUGUGUGGCACAAAUAAUUUAUGUCCUUCAAGUAAUUGUUCCUGGUAACAGAGCUUCCCGCGGGGCUCCGAAUGAACUGGUCCAACAAUCACGGAAGGUAAUCUCCGGCAUCGCAUUCCCCCCACUUCUGUUUUGAUUUGAUUACGGUAAACACCAGCAGACGAAACCGUAGACAAUGGGUCCCGCAACCAAGCUUAGCGUUCGUAAAAACCAACAAAACAAAGUGGUAUAUUGUUCCAGAGUUGAUUUAUUAAAUACCUUUCGGCCAGGCCUUCGAGUAUGGUGCAUUCCAUGGAACAACGCGACGAAAAGAGAACGAAUGGCCAUAAGAGGAUUUGAAUGU